GGAGAGUAAGUAUGGCUGAAGGGCUAGUUAAUGAAGAUACCCUCAAGCCAUCAGUAAGGAAGCCCUAAGGGCAGGAAACACUCUGCAGGACUGGAGGAAUUUGGAGAUUCCUGGACUGUAAAAAACUAACUUUCCCCCAAUGCUGAAAUGUAGCUACUUCGAGGUUGGAAAGCAGCAGCUGCUUAACAGUGCACAACACCGCUAUGAAAUAGUUCCAGAUAAGAAAUGAAGACUUCUAUAUCAGACAGAAGCUGCUAAGAGAGAUUUAUAUAGGUAAGAUGUAAUUAGCCAUAUGUAUUUUAGCCAGGACAUAUGGGUAACACCCUUGUGAAAAAAAAUGCCUUGGGAUUUUUAAUAAUCGCACAGAGGGGAACUUCAAGAACACAGCUCGAAGGCUGCUGGAACAAUUUGUAUAGUGGAGGUGCUAAGAGCAAUUGAACCAAACUGUGAACCCUGUGUAUAAUGGAAACUACUUCGAGCCAGAGGGUGCGGCCGCACUCCCAGCACUCCUUGUUCCAGCACCUAUGCACAGCACCACCCCAGCACCAUCCUAGGGACACUGGUUCAGCCCUGCCUCAGUACUCCAACACCUACACCACAUCCAGGAGUGGCUUUUCCUUGAGUCCAAUCCAAGGGCUGAUCAAGAGUAAAUCUGCUUAGCAGGUGAGAUCAAACAAGAUCACAGAGCAAAGUUGCGUGACUCCAUGCAGGCAUUGGAGUGGAAAACAUAUUUAAAGUCAGUCAAACUAUGACUAGCCAUCACAUGCUGAGCUCUUUUGAAAAUCUAGCCCUAUUCGUUUCUAACAACUUCAUUAUUAACUUAGUCAAACAAUUCAAUCACCAGGCAGCAAAGACCCAUGAACUGUGGAUUGCUGGAAAGAGACAUGGAAUAAAAAUGGUUUAUAACUAA